GAGCUGUGGCACCUUCAAGAGGAAAGGGAAUCAGCUGCAGGCAGAGGUCCUGUUAAGGGCCAGUACAGUCAAAAAGAGGGGCGCAGUGUAUGGACUGCAGGGGCAGACAGAUGGAUCUGUUGAACAUGGAGUUUCUAUAGAAAGGGGCUGUGAAUGCACAGCAGCAAAGACAAGGAGACAUGCAGCCUGAUUGGCAGUACUCCAUUGAUGCAACACACAGUGACACAGUAUUUCCUCCACUCAACCCAUGUGCUGAGGUUUACACAGAAGCUCAGAUAAGACCCCUGCAAAGACUCGGAUGUGUCUUUAAAAUGGCUGUAAUGGAUAUAGCCACCCAAAGACUUGUUUGACAGGUGGAGAGGACUUUGUUGUCAGUAGGUGGGCAUCAACAGCCAUAGGAGGAGCUGGCAGAGGUUACAACAACUGCGUAGCUCCAGGGCAUUAACUGCAAAGCUGCAGGCGGAUCAUUUCAGGUCGGAGGCCCCGUGUGAAAUCAGAUGUUUAACUGGCCGGCUGAAGUGGGACGGGAGCAUCUUAACCACCACCUUGCCAAAGGUCUCGUGUUCAGUCAACCGAUGGGGCUGCUCUGGCAGAGGAUUGUGAGAAGUCUCCAGGAGCGUAUCCUAGAGCUGCAGAGCGCCAUCCAGAGGUUGGAGUGGUUCAUCUGCAGAAAAGCCAAGUAAAGCAGAGAUCUCAACAUGCAAUGAGGCCAGGUCUAGUAGAGGCACUGCUGGGAUUGUGGGAGUUGUGUCAUUUUAAUAAAGUGCUUUGACUUCAAGAGGAGAUUCGUUUAGCAGAGAGGAGAGCCUACAGAAGAGGAGAGGAGUCACUGAAAACCUUUGCCAGCAUUUGUGCAUCCAGCUGCCGUGAUUGUUGGCAGCUGGAUGGGAGAGUUUCAGCUAAAGAGCUUGCCCUUGAAGUGACUUUGAGGGGAUUUUGUCCUUGAAUGGCGAGAGAGACCUUUCAGAUUUGGACAUUUCAUGGAAUAGACCAUUCCAGUUCAAGGGACAGUUAACCUCAGAAAUUUCUUUAAGUGUUUUUCAUGUGGAACUAACAGCAAGCUAAAUGUAUAUACUACCUAUAAAUGUAAAUAGUUAAACAAUUCUGUACUACCAGACUAUGUAGGUGGAAUAUAAAUAUAAAUGUUUGCUGUGCUUUUUGUUUUUUUCAGAAUGUCCUGAAUGCCAUCAAUAGUUUUUGGGGUUAUUUAGUUGAAUAAAUUAUCUUAAAGUAAUAAUAAUCUAUAUUUUAUGAAUAAGUUUCUUUACGCAAACAAAAGUGGAGCACUUUUGUUCUGAGUCACAAAAAGCAACUUCUCCUAGAGCAAUAGACCCACAAGCCAAUGUAGCCGAAAUCUUAAUGAAUGUGGCCAGAUAGACAAGAAAUUGCAUCCAAAUAAAAGAAUAAUAAAGGCAUCU